AUUGAACGCUGGCGGCAGGCCUAACACAUGCAAGUCGAGCGAGCGGCGGAGGGGGGAGUAAUGUUUGGGAAACUGUCUGUUGGAGGGGGAUAACUACUGGAAAAGGUAGAUAAAACCGCGCACCAUCAGAUGUGCCCAGGGGGGAUUAGCUAGUAGGUGGGGUAAUGGCUCACCUAGGCGACGAUCCCUAGCUGGUCUGAGAGGAUGACCAGCCACACUGGAACUGAGACACGGUCCAGACUCCUACGGGAGGCAGCAGUGGGGAAUAUUGCACAAUGGGCGCAAGCCUGAUGCAGCCAUGCCGCGUGUGUGAAGAAGGCCUUCGGGUUGUAAAGCACUUUCAGCGGGGAGGCGGUACCCGCAGAAGAAGCACCGGCUAACUCCGUGCCAGCAGCCGCGGUAAUAC
rnacentral:rRNA from 1 species